GGUUUCGUGGUGUAGUUGGUUAUCACACAUGCUUAACAAUCAGUUCGAUCGCGAGCGCAUGUGGUCCCCGGUUCGAGCCCGGGCGAAAUCA